UGAAUUAUGAUAUAUACAUCUAGAUAUUUUCUAUCAAUAAUAAUGAGAAUCAUAAAAAUAAUAAUAAUCACAAUCCUUUUUUUGAUAAUUUACUAUUAUUGUUUGUAUGAAUAAGAAUAUCUGGUCCUUAAUAAAGACUUGCACUCGAAGAGACAAUACACAAUAGCCUAGAUCUAAUCAAUGAAUAAACAAAACUUAAAAGGACAGCAUUAUUAAUAUAAUUAUAAAUAUCACCAAAGAACAUACAUUUCACUUUCUCAAGGUUCUAAAUAUUCUUGAUUUAUUAUCCGAAUUCAUAUUUUUUUGCAGUCACCUUCCUCCAUAGCCAGCAUUUCUAAACAAUUCUUGCUUUACAUCUUCACAACUCAUGACUGAACGAUGCUCGAUUGCCUGAAAAAUUUAGGCCAGGAAAAAAAAAAANNN
rnacentral:lncRNA from 1 species